rnacentral:rRNA from 1 species
GAGUAUGGCGGCGGCUACACAUGCAAGUCGAGCGGAUGAGGGUAGCUUGCUACCUGAUUCAGCGGCGGACGGGUGAGUAAUGCCUAGGAAUCUGCCCGAUAGUGGGGGACAACGUUUCGAAAGGAACGCUAAUACCGCAUACGUCCUACGGGAGAAAGUGGGGGAUCUUCGGACCUCACGCUAUCGGAUGAGCCUAGGUCGGAUUAGCUAGUUGGUGAGGUAAUGGCUCACCAAGGCGACGAUCCGUAACUGGUCUGAGAGGAUGAUCAGUCACACUGGAACUGAGACACGGUCCAGACUCCUACGGGAGGCAGCAGUGGGGAAUAUUGGACAAUGGGCGAAAGCCUGAUCCAGCCAUGCCGCGUGUGUGAAGAAGGUCUUCGGAUUGUAAAGCACUUUAAGUUGGGAGGAAGGGCAGUAAGUUAAUACCUUGCUGUUUUGACGUUACCAACAGAAUAAGCACCGGCUAACUUCGUGCCAGCAGCCGCGGUAAUACGAAGGGUGCAAGCGUUAAUCGGAAUUACUGGGCGUAGAGCGCGCGUAGGUGGUUCAGCAAGUUGGACGUGAAAGCCCCGGGCUCAACCUGGGAACUGCAUCCAAAACUACUGAGCUAGAGUACGGUAGAGGGUGGUGGAAUUUCCUGUGUAGCGGUGAAAUGCGUAGAUAUAGGAAGGAACACCAGUGGCGAAGGCGACCACCUGGACUGAUACUGACACUGAGGUGCGAAAGCGUGGGGAGCAAACAGGAUUAGAUACCCUGGUAGUCCACGCCGUAAACGAUGUCAACUAGCUGUUGGGUUCCUUGAGAACUUAGUAGCGCAGCUAACGCGAUAAGUUGACCGCCUGGGGAGUACGGGCCGCAAAGUUAAAACUCAAAUGAAUUUGACGGGGGCCCGCACAAGCGGUGGAGCAUGUGGUUUAUUCGAAGCAACGCGAGACCUUACCUGGCCUUGACAUGCUGAGAACUUUCCAGAGAUGGAUUGGUGCCUUCGGGAACUCAGACCCAGGUGCUGCAUGGCUGUCGUCAG